GGAGAGAGAGAGAGAGAGAGAGAGAGAGAGAGAGAGAGCGAGCUUGCCAGCUGAGGCGAUGCCGCUGGAGAGAUAGUAGCGGGAGUGAGCAGAGGAGAAGGAGGUGGUGGUGGCUGUGAAAAGAGAGCGGAAGA